rnacentral:lncRNA from 1 species
UAUUUCGCCCUACAGUUUCCGGCCAUGGUCGGUAGGCUCCAAAACAAACAGCGCCGUCGAAGGCCCUGGCAGAGGAAAGGUGCUCACCCCACAGCAGCAGGAGGCAGAGAAGGGAGAGCUGUGCACAAGAACACGCCCUUCCAGGUCACGCCCCUCUUGGCCACCUGGGCCCAGGCCCCACCUCCUGACAGCACAUUCAGUUGCUGAACUCCUCAAAUGGAUGAAUCCACGGACAAGCAUAACACCAACCCGACCUUCCAAAUACAGGAGAGUCACGGUGCACACUUCUAAGCCGUAACACACUGGAACCUCUGAAAUCAGGAGCCAAACUAAACCUGUCCUCUUGCUGCUCCACAAAUCAAGUAGCGCACGAAGGCCAGACCCACUGGGUUUGCUGGACAGGCAGGUCCUGUGGGACCUGCAGACCCCAGCGCCCCGGCUAACCCUCCCGCUGAAAGGCCUCUGUUUAAGUAUUUACUGAGAGCAAAGCAGGGAACAGACGAAUGGACAAUGGGGGACUACAAGGUGGAGGAGAAGUCUCCACGGCUACCAGGAGGUGGGUGGGCAGGACUAAGCUGGAUGUUUGAGCAACAUCGGCCAUCGACAGACUGGUUUCAUUAGAGCUGCGCUCCAUGCCUCCAGUAUACGGCCCAGUUUGUAUGUUUAGUACUUGAGGGUGAAACCAGGAACCUCCAGGCCGCGGGCACGGAGCAAUGGCGAAUGCGUAUUUUUUCCAAAGGCGCAAAUGGGAAGAGGAUCCAUGUACCGAAAGGCUCAGGCACUUCUCUGAAAGCGACUCCUCAGGUGUAUUUCCUGUCCCUUCACACUGCCUGGGCCUUCUCUGAUCCUACUUGGUGCCGUUCAGAGCUGGUCUGCAUGUUGACAGCUACAAGGGAAAAGACAAGCUGCAAAGCACAGGAUACAGACUGGCUCGCUGAUGGCAGCCCUCGCUCUUACCCCGGAGGCCGGGGCGAGGCGAGGAGGAUUUUGUUCAAUUACGCAGUCUAACCUCUAGCUAUCACGAAAGGGCAACAAUUGGCAAUAUGCAAAUCCAGCCCUCAGAACCUCAGAGGCAGGACCAAGCUGAAUGUUGUGAUCCAAGCAAAGAUGGUUUCCUUGACAAAAACUGACUUCAACUUAGCCACAAUCCGAAGUGCUGACGAACACGGGUGUUUCUGCCACCUGCAGGCUGUGACACUCCAGGAUUUACAGCUGAUUUCACAAACUCAGCCUUAAGGACCACAGUGGGGAAGCCUUUAGUUAACAAUGGCAUGGCUGAUGGUCCAGAUUCUCUUAUUUCCCAGGUGACCCAAGUCCACAACACAGAAUCUGCUAUGCUUGGUGUCUGUAAGACUCAAAGGCCCGAGGAAUAGAUUUCCUCAUUUCGCCAAACCCACAUUUGACCUGUAUCUUGGAUAGCAUCGACCAUUUAUUGGCCUCUUGCUAGCCUCAAAGGAUCCAGCCAUUUUCGAGUUCACAAAGAAUCACUACCCUUGGACAGCUUGUGAUGUGAUUGGCCAGGCAAAGCCCCUGUACUAAAGCACAACCAAGACAAGUCUACCUGAAAGGUUCCCAUGGCUCCCUCAUCAGUGGGUACAAACAAGGUCACGUCAGUAUUAAUGGCCAGGUUUUGAUUACUCAAGAGUCCCCACCAACCACUGUGGAAAUCAGUAUGGAGAUAUCUCAAAGAACUAGGACUGGAAGUCCCAUUUGACCCAGCUAUUCCCCUGCUGGGUAUCUUCCCCAAAGAAUUAAAAGAACCAUACCACAGUGAUAUAUGUGCACCCAUGUUCAUAGCAGCAUAGUUUUUAAGAGCUAAAACUUGGAAAUAGCCGACAUGCGCAUCAACUGGAGACUGGAUAAAGAAGUGGUUUUUUUGUAUAAAAUGGAGUACUACUCAGCCAUAAAGAGGGUCCUGCAGGGAGGAGGUCAGAGGCAGAGACUUCUCCAACCCCUCUGAGCCACAGCUAACCACCUCCACGGAACCAUUUCUAUGUCUGCUGGAUGGAUGGAUGCACGCAUGCAGGGGGAAGCUCUGCUCUGCUCUGCUCUGCUCCUGCUCCUGCUCCUGCACCUGCUCCUGCUCCUGCUCCUGCUCCUGCUCCUGCUCCUGCUCCUGUUCCUGUUCCUGCUCCUGCUCCUGUUCCUGCUCCUGCUCCUGCUCGGCUCUGCUCUGCUCUGCUCUCUUGGGGAAAAGCCAAGAGAGGCAGUAGUUGAACUCAAUCCAGGACCUGAAAGCAUUCUGCAAGGGGAGUUGUCUUUGUUCUCCUGCAAGGUUUCCAGUGGAGAUAAAUGCGUUCCACAUGGCCCAGGAGGAGAAGGCUUCUUUCCACUUGCUUUUGAUCCUUCGACACUGCAGCGUGUAAACACUUAUCAUUCCAGAGUCUUCCAGAACCACAGGUCCUUCCCUGACCUCCCACCCUACCGGAGUGGCAUGACCGUGUCCCACACCACCCUGUAGCCGCCACCACCCAAGUGGAGAGCCAUGGUCAUGAGCCCCAUGGAACUGUCCUUGCCAGAAAGGACCCAAAGCAUAGGUUGCCCGGUGGCCUUUGCCUGUGGCCAGGCAGGCUUCAUGCCUAAACGCAGUCUUCCCUGUGGGCCCAGUUUCACUGUUCCUCCUUGACAGGCCAACUACCAGAUGAAGUCAGAUGAAAAAGGGGACGCGCCCUCACGGCCCCUGCUGGAGACUUCAGCUGUCACAGUCUCUCUGCAGGAAAACUGUACGUGAGUAAAUAAACGCAAAAGGAAACACUCUCACGACCAGGAAUCUACCCCUAGGAAGUAAGUGAAAUGAUUUACACAUAAGAUGCUUCCUACAUCAUUUUAAAAAGUUUUUAAGGGGCCGGGGAUUUAGCUCAGUGGUUUCGCCACCUACUGCACAAGCACAAGGACCCAAGUUCGACCCCCAGUACCAAAAAAAAUAAAGUUUUUAAAAAGGCAAGGCGGGGAACAACCUAAGUAAUUAAGGAUAGGGGAGUAAAUGGCUUCCUGCACUUUGACAACUGUGACAUAAGCCUACCAAAACUCAUAUUGGAGUAUAUGCCCUAAUAAAAAAUGAUAAAUAUUUAUUUUUAUAAAUUGCACCUGGGUACUAUUGAGCCAAAAUAUUAUGUGCAUGAUCAAAUACACAUUAUGGUCACUGUAAACAGUGUUUUAAAUUUAUUUUAUUCAUUUAUACUACAAAAAUAUUUUGGUAUAGAGAAAUGCAAUUUUUGAUAUGUUCUAUUAUUUGUGUAACUUUUAGGUCAACACUUUAUGAUACAAUUGAAGAUUCAGUGUAUUUUUAUACUAGGUUUUGAUAGUUACCAUAAUUGAAAACAUUCUUUUAUGAUGACACAGAUAAAAUAGUAUAAAAGCAAUAAUUGACCAUAU